UACGUAGGGCGCAAGCGUUUGUCCGGAAUUAUUGGGCGUAAAGAGCGUGUAGGCGGCCACUUAAGUCCUGCGUGAAAUCUUGCGGCUCAACCGCAAGCGGUCGUGGGAAACUGGGUGGCUAGAGUGCGGGAGAGGAGAGUGGAAUUCCUGGUGUAGCGGUGGAAUGCGCAGAUAUCAGGAAGAACACCCGUGGCGAAGGCGGCUCUCUGGAACGCAACUGACGCUGAGACGCGAAAGCGUGGGGAGCAAACAGG
rnacentral:rRNA from 1 species